UUCAACUGACUGAUGGUCUCCGGAGGGU
rnacentral:sRNA from 1 species